rnacentral:ncRNA from 1 species
CGAAAAGCGUUGAUAGGAAGCAGUAGGGAGCCUCUCUUUCCAAGAGAGCCGAUGGUUGGUGCGAAUCGGCGAAAGAUGCUGUCCGAAUCCAUCCUUGAGCGAAUUGCUGAACAGUCAAAGUAGGCAUUUACGGGAGAACCGUUAUCAAAAUAAGCGGAAAGCAGGAGGUAGACGCCUGUUUUCAAUCAGGGUGGCAACGCGAGAGCUCUCGUCCCUUUU